CUACGGGGUGCACCAGUGGGGGAUAUUGCACAAUGGGGGAAACCCUGAUGCAGCAACGCCGCGUGAAGGAAGACGGUUUUCGGAUUGUAAACUUCUAUCAGCAGGGAAGAAAUUGACGGUACCUGACUAAGAAGCCCCGGCUAACUACGUGCCAGCAGCCGCGGUAAUACGUAGGGGGCAAGCGUUAUCCGGAUUUACUGGGUGUAAAGGGUGCGUAGGCGGUUAGAUCAGUCGGGUGUGAAAGCCCCGGGCUUAACCUGGGAACUGCAUCCGAUACUGUCUAGCUUGAGUACAGGAGAGGAGAGUGGAAUUCCACAUGUAGCGGCGAAAUGCGUAGAUAUGUGGAGGAACACCAAUGGCGAAGGCAGCUCUCUGGCCUGAUACUGACGCUGAGGUGCGAAAGCGUGGGGAGCAAACAGGAUUAGAUACCCCGGUAGUC
rnacentral:rRNA from 1 species